ensembl:snRNA U6 U6 spliceosomal RNA
UUGCUUCAGCAGCACAUAUAUAAAAAAUUAUAACGAUACAGAAAAGAUUGCCAUGGCCCCUGUGCAAGGAUGACACAGAAGUUGUGAAGCAUUCUGUAUUUCU